rnacentral:rRNA from 1 species
GGGUCUUGGGAUAUUUGGGGUUAAGCGUCCUUGGGUUUGAAUAGUACUAGGCUGGGUGACCUCCCGGGAAGUCCAAACUCAGGAGCUU